GACGAACGCUGGCGGCGUGCCUAAUACAUGCAAGUCGAGCGGACUUGAAGGAGUGCUUGCACUCCUGAUGGUUAGCGCGGACGGGUGAGUAACACGUAGGCAACCUGCCCUUAAGACUGGGAUAACUACCGGAAACGGUAGCUAAUACCGGAUAAUUUAUUACAUAGCAUUAUGUGAUAAUGAAAGACGGAGCAAUCUGUCACUUGGGGAUGGGCCUGCGGCGCAUUAGCUAGUUGGUGGGGUAAUGGCUCACCAAGGCGACGAUGCGUAGCCGACCUGAGAGGGUGAACGGCCACACUGGGACUGAGACACGGCCCAGACUCCUACGGGAGGCAGCAGUAGGGAAUCUUCCGCAAUGGGCGAAAGCCUGACGGAGCAACGCCGCGUGAGUGAUGAAGGUUUUCGGAUCGUAAAGCUCUGUUGCCAAGGAAGAACGUCUCAUAGAGUAACUACUAUGAGAGUGACGGUACUUGAGAAGAAAGCCC
rnacentral:rRNA from 1 species